GACGAACGCUGGCGGCGUGCUUAACACAUGCAAGUCGAACGGAAAGGCCCUGCUUUUGUGGGGUGCUCGAGUGGCGAACGGGUGAGUAACACGUGAGUAACCUGCCCUUGACUUUGGGAUAACUUCAGGAAACUGGGGCUAAUACCGGAUAGGAGCUCCUGCUGCAUGGUGGGGGUUGGAAAGUUUCGGCGGUUGGGGAUGGACUCGCGGCUUAUCAGCUUGUUGGUGGGGUAGUGGCUUACCAAGGCUUUGACGGGUAGCCGGCCUGAGAGGGUGACCGGCAGCGGUCGGAGGGCGAUACGGGGCGGCAGGGUGGGGGGGGCAGGGGUGGGGAAGAGUGAGGAGGGGACGGGCGGGGGGUGCGACCAGCGCGCGGGCGGGAGGACGGUCGGGGGUUGGUCGAGCGCGUGCGCGGGGGAGGAAGAGGGAGUGACGGGAGGGAGGAAGGAAGGACCGGCUAACUACGGGCCAGAAGCCGCGAGAAUACUGAGAAGAGCACACGUCUGAGC
rnacentral:rRNA from 1 species